rnacentral:rRNA from 1 species
UACGGAGGGGGCUAGCGUUGUUCGGAAUUACUGGGCGUAAAGCGCACGUAGGCGGCUUUGCAAGUCAGAGGUGAAAGCCCGGGGCUCAACCCCGGAAUUGCCUUUGAGACUGCAUCGCUAGAAUUGUGGAGAGGUAAGUGGAAUUCCGAGUGUAGAGGUGAAAUUCGUAGAUAUCGGGAGGAACACCAGUGGCGAAGGCGGCGACCUGGACGGACACUGACGCUGAGACGCGAAAGCGUGGGGAGCAAACAGG